UUUCUUAUUACGUGCACGGAGAGGUGUCCACUCUGAAACCUUUCUUCACAUCUCUUUGUGUUUUUCCUCAGCGUAGGAAACUGGAAAGAACACGGGUCUCAGACCUGGACAGGCCUGAGUCUGAACUUCAGCACCUUGAUGAACUCGAGAACCACAGUUUUUGCAUUCAGUGUCUCUGGGAAAGGAACAAAAUGGCGUCUGGCAGGAGAUAAAGCUGGUGAGAAAGAGACCUAAUGAACUUGGUGGAGGCGCCGGAGACCAAGACCACACCCAUCAUGUCUCCUGCAAGUUUCUCAGUGGAAAAAUGAACCUUCUCCACCAGCAGGGUAUUUCACUUGUCCAUGAAGAGGAACCCUGUGGCAGCCUGGGCUCUGAGCCCUGGGCAGAGAGUCAAGAGACCAGAGCCCCGGAUCCAGCAGUGGCAAAGCCGCAGGCCCAGACAACCCCACUGCCUCAGUCUCGGUUUUCUCAUCCAUCAAAUACCCUGCAGCACUGGCUCCCUGGGUGCUUCCAAUUUCUCCUCGACUUUCUUGUGGAUGACUCAUAACCUGAUGUUUUAUAGGGGCCAGAGCAUUUGAAACACAUCAAAUAUAGGGUAAAUGCAAUUCAGACAGUUAAGCCACAUAGAACACCAAUUACAGACGUACAGAGAUUCAUUCCUUCACUCCAGGGUUUGUGUGUUGCUCUGGAAGUCAGGCUAAAUCUCCCCCCUGUUCCGAAGCACAGUUAUUAAGUGGACAUCGGUGAUGCAGCCUGCGCCUGACAUGGUCACUGUGAGAUGGAUCACCUGGGACCUCGAGGUCUCCACCCCCAUCCGCAAGUGCAGCCAGGCAGCCGGCGGGCGCAGGCUCCUUCAGAGCAGCCGUUUUGCCAUCUCAGUAUUAAAGGAAGAAGCAAAAUACAUCAGAGCUCCUAGGGAAGGAGGUUUUAAGAUCAUUAACAUUUGACCACAUGUACUUAGAUUAAAAAACCACAAGAAGGAAGGAAGGAAGGAAAAAAACAUUUUAGUUGGAAUCAAAAUGCCUCCCUAAUCUCAACUGAGGAUGUACUGCCUCUCCCCCAAGAGUAAUGGAAAAAUGAAGACCCAAAUAGUCGAAUCCUCACCUUGGUGGACUUAAACGUUUAAAGAGACCAAGGAAAGAAUAGAAAGCAGCAAGGACAUCUGUGCUCAGCAAACACACAAGCCUGGAAUAAAGCAGCCCCGACAGGAAAUGGGGAAAAAGUCUUGACAUGUAAAUUUCAUCAUUUGCUCUGGAGCUGAAAUUCAACACUCAAAAUCAUUCUGUUUUUAUUUUCCAAGUAAAAAGAAAAGAAAGGAUUAGAAAACUGCCAAGUGCUCUGUGUUUGAGAAGUGACCACUACUUUCAAGCUCAGGCAUAUCCAGCCUUCUCUUUGUAACACACAUUUUUUAGUAACAUGUAUAAUAUUCCUGAAAAGGGGCCAAAAUGUGAACAACUGGUUGAUGUUUAAGUUCUUGAAAUGUGGAGAUGAAUUAGGCUGUGAUUUUGGAAGGAAUUAGUUAUUCCCUAAGAAAUUGAGGGCAUGUUUACUGGUUCUGUAAGCAUUAUAUUACCUUUACUUAAAAUAUCAAAAUCUUUAUGCUCCUUUUACCCUGA